UACGGAGGGGGCGAGCGUUAUUCGGAAUCAUUGGGCGUAAAGGGCGCGUAGGCGGCCCCGUAAGUCUUGGGUGAAAGCCCUCGGCUCAACCGAGGAAUUGCCUUGGAUACUGCGGGGCUCGAGGCUGGAAGAGGGCAGUGGAAUUCCUGGUGUAGCGGUGAAAUGCGCAGAUAUCAGGAGGAACACCGGUGGCGAAGGCGCCACUCUGGGCCGGUACUGACGCUGAGGAGCGAAAGCGUGGGUAGCAAACAGG
rnacentral:rRNA from 1 species